rnacentral:rRNA from 1 species
UACGUAGGGUGCAAGCGUUGUCCGGAAUUAUUGGGCGUAAAGAGCUCGUAGGCGGUUUGUCGCGUCUGCUGUGAAAACUGGAGGCUCAACCUCCAGCCUGCAGUGGGUACGGGCAAACUAGAGUGCUGUAGGGGAGACUGGAAUUCCUGGUGUAGCGGUGGAAUGCGCAGAUAUCAGGAGGAACACCGAUGGCGAAGGCAGGUCUCUGGGCAGUUACUGACGCUGAGGAGCGAAAGCAUGGGAGCGAACAGG